rnacentral:rRNA from 1 species
UACGAAGGGGGCUAGCGUUGCUCGGAAUUACUGGGCGUAAAGGGCUCGUAGGCGGCCAACUAAGUCGGACGUGAAAUCCCUCAGCUUAACUGGGGAACUGCGUCCGAUACUGGAUGGCUUGGAUUUGGGAGAGGGAUGCGGAAUUCCAGGUGUAGCGGUGAAAUGCGUAGAUAUCUGGAGGAACACCGGUGGCGAAGGCGGCAUCCUGGACCGGUAUUGACGCUGAGGAGCGAAAGCCAGGGGAGCAAACGGG